rnacentral:rRNA from 1 species
UACGGAGGGUGCAAUCGUUAAUCGGAAUCACUGGGCGUAAAGCGCGCGUAGGCGGCUUGGUAAGCGGGGUGUGAAAGCCCCGGGCUCAACCUGGGAAUUGCAUCCCGAACUGCCAGGCUAGAGUACGAUAGAGGAGUGUGGAAUUUCCGGUGUAGCGGUGAAAUGCGUAGAGAUCGGAAGGAACAUCAGUGGCGAAGGCGGCACUCUGGAUUGAUACUGACGCUGAGGUGCGAAAGCGUGGGGAGCAAACAGG